rnacentral:lncRNA from 1 species
GCGCCCUCUCACCCCCCAUGGGCUCUGCAAAUUGCUUCCUCCUGUGGAAAUCUUCAUCCUCCUCCCCAGCCUGGCAGGGUGUGGCCCCUUGGCAGGGUCCCCCUGGGGUCCUUGGGCUGGAGGUGGGGGAGACAGACACCAUCCCCACCCCCUCCUCCGAGCCCAGAAUGGGCCGACCGGCCGGCUUCCAGGGUAGGAGCCUCUGGCAGCUGGAGAACAGCUGGCGGGUGGCAGGCAGCGGAGAGGGAGGCUGGGGGGGUGGGGAGGCUGCAGGCCUCCUCUUUCCCAUCCUUCACCCCAUGGCUCGGUGCCCAGGGCAGGCCCGGGAUGCCCAGGGGACUGUGGGGUUCUCUGUCUUCCUGCCACCUUGAGCAGUACCGCCUCAAAGCCGGAGCACCUGGGCCAGGGUCCCUGCAGGGGUGGGUGGUAGCUGCCUGCAGGGCCUGAUAAGGCCCCAGUUCAGCCUUGGCUCCCCAUGGGGCUGCAGAGGUGCCGCCUGCCAGGUCACCUUGUCCCAUCUAUGUCCCCCCACUGUGGCAGCUGCUCAGGGGAACCCCACACUUCAGGUUGGUGCCCCAUCCCCCUCAAAAGGGAGCUCUGGGGGCUGGGUGGUCUGGAGUCUGGGGCCUCUGGGGUCUGGGGGGCCAGGACCUCUGUAGCAGCCCCCAACUCUGGCCUCCAUUCCUGGAGCCAUCUGGCCAGUUCUGCCAGCAGACCCGGGGGGGGGCAGCGAGGCACCCCGUAUCUCCCCAGAGCUCGGCCUGCUCUCCCAGCCUUCCGAGACCCUGACCCUGCCACCACUCAGUGGUACUUCUGACCCCAGAAGGCUGAGGCCUGGGAGCCAGGCUUAGGUGUGCCGGCCGGCCGAGGUGGGACAGACAGACUCGCUGUGGAGUUCAGGCUGGCCUUGAAUUCAUUAUGUAUCCAAGGCUGGCUUCAAACUCCAGGCAAUCCUCCUGCCUCAGCCUCCUCAGUGCUGAGAUUACAGGCGCAUGUGAUCACGCCUGGCUAUGGAGGAUUAAAUGAAUGAAUGGGUGAAACCCCACAACCUUCCUGGAAUUUGGCAGUAUUGUUAGUCGCAGCACUGCCUAACUCUGUACCUGACCCCAGGACCCUGAGGGCCUCACCACCCUGCUCCAUUACUGACCCCCUCGGGGCUCCCCAACCAGAGGCUCCUGCUGAGAAGUCCCCCCAUCAGAACACCUGGGACUCAGGUCUUCUCUGGCUUCUCUCGGGGUCCCCACCUGUCCACCCAGCCUCCUGUGUUUCCUGCUGCUCAUGGCAAAGCCCUGGGCUCCAGGCCUCAGGUGCACUCAGGCCUUCGGGCCUGGGCUGACCUGCCGGGG